UACGUAGGGUGCAGGCGUUAAUCGGAAUUACUGGGCGUAAAGCGUGCGCAGGCGGUUUUGUAAGCCAGAUGUGAAAUCCCCAGGCUUAACCUGGGAACUGCAUUCGAGACUGCAUUGCUAGAGUAUGGGAGAGGGAAGUGGAAUUUCCGGUGUAGCGGUGAAAUGCGUAGAUAUCGGAAGGAACAUCAGUGGCGAAGGCGGCGAUCUGGGUAGAUACUGACGCUGAGGUGCGAAAGCGUGGGGAGCAAACAGG
rnacentral:rRNA from 1 species